UGUGCGGGGACGGGGGGCGGCCAUGACAGGUAUCGAGGCGGAAGUGCGGGCGGUUGCGGCCAGGAAGGGAACAGGGUCCGGCCCCACAGUGCGCGUGAUGGGAGCAGCCCGCGUUUGUCUGUCAAGCCGCUCUUGGCUUUUCCCCUUUGGCCCGAGGCGGUGCCGCCCAGAGCCCCGCCCCUUUCCUGGAGUCACAGGAUUCGCUCGCUCGCGCUCGCCGCUCACAUGACCGAGCUGGACCAAUCGCAGGGAGCACAGAGAGGGCGAGGUAAAGACAAUGUCGCGGAGGUGCGAGAGGUGGCGUCGCCGAUCCGUUGUUGCCAGCGCGGGGCGGAGGGCUGCGCUAGAGGCCCGGGACCCCAGGGUUUCAUCACUGAGGCUCUGCUUGUUUUUCAUGGAGCUAAAUACUCCUCUAUAGAAAUGAAGAACAGCGUGGAUGCAACAAAGGUGUUUACCAGUGGGGGAGAAUGUCCUGUCUUCAGUAUAGAAACCUCGUACAUUCUGAAGGUCUAAUUAUGUGCAGCUGGUUGGACAAUUUUUGGCAAUUUUUUGUCCCAUUUUCUGACAAGCUCUAAUAAUGAACUCUCAGAUAAAGAAAAGGGGAGGAGGAGCAUAUCUAAUGAGAUACAAUGAAUGGGCAAAUUCUGCUUCUCUUGAAAUAAAGGCAAAUGUUGCAAGUGUUGUGUUUCUAAAAAACAAAAAGCAGCACAUGAAUUUCUCAGUUGAGGUGCUUCUUAUUUCAGAUAUAGGAAAAUAGCAAGUGGAGAAACAACAAAUAUAAAUCUCCUUGGAAGAGAGCAAACACAGUGACUUGUCUUGGUGACAUGUGGCAUCUGAACUGAAACAGAAGAAGGCAGCUUGCCUUCCAGCUGCUCCCACAGCACACAAGAUGGCUCUUCAACAGCAAAAUGUGCAGUGCACAGACAACAUAAUGACAGCUUCUCCCUUCAGUUACAUAGCUUUGACUCCUCCCCUGCAAUUCAUUAAUUUAUACAUGUUUAGUCUUCUGGGAGGUUUGCAUUUAUAUUAUGUCUAAAGGUAUCAGUCAUGAAGGGCAUUUAACACUUGUUCCUCAUCUCCAUCAUUAGGUACACCAAUUAGACUAAUAUCUUCUUUAGGCCAAUGAAAACAGACCCAUUUUCAAGUCAGUAAACAUAUUUACAUCAUCUUCAAACUCAGGGGCUUUUCUGGACCUCUGCUGUAACAGCAGGACAAUAUGAUUCAUUAUUAUCACUCUUUUAUGUAUACCAGUAAAUCCUGAUCCCAAUACCUUUCUGACAACUCUAUUCCCCACUGCUCCCAUCAUUUCAAAUCAAAACCCCCUUUUCUCUCUCUUGCUAUCAGAAACAAUUGGGACAGUAGCAGGGUGUCACCAUGUUCCUCUGAAGUAUUGUAUCUGACAUGGUACUCAUGUGCAAUGGAGGUCGAAGCUCAUCUUUGCAUCACAGCUGCUGCCUGAAGUACAAUGCAUGCUUUUGAGCCCCAGAUUUUCUAGGGAAUGGUGAUGAAUUCUGAAUUUCUAAAGCAUUAAUUAAAUUAAUUACUCCAAAUUAGUGCUAGUGCCUCUUACUCUCUUUGAAAUUCCUCUUUACCUUUCACAAUGGUGUGUAAGCAAAUGCUCGGGGUUUUUAUUCUCCAGUCUCUGUGGAAUAACAGCUUCCAUCCCUACUAGGGAGACAUUGCAUACUAACAGAAAGGGAAGUUUUGGAGUAAAUUGCACCAGUAUCCGUGAACCACUUUUCCUUCUGCUACUUUAAUAGUAAUAUUUUGCAUCACAUAAUUUCUUAACAACCUUAACAUUGGGCUGAUAAAUCCUGAUACAUUUGUGGAAAAUUGUCCGAUAGUUACUAGUUUAAUGUUGCCAAUAAAGAACUCAAGCUCUGAAACAUUAUGCAGUCCAGGUACAUUCUGACGGGCAUGUGUCAUCUCUUUUUAAGGGAUAGAACCCCUUUGCAUAUAUUCUAUGCCUCCUAAAAGCAACCUUUUCCCCAAUUUUUGUGGGGUGUGUAAGUGAGGGGAAUGGCUAGCUUGGUGAAGACUGUGCCACUGCAGUAUGGAUUGUACCUGUUCUGGGCAUGAAUAGAGAACUUCAUUCUUUAGGGUUUUUCAAUCUAGUCUGCCAGGCUGCCUGUCAAUCCUGCAGCUUUUACUGCUGAGUGAUUGGAGACACCCUGCCUUUUUCAUAUGAGGAGUGGCAGAACCACCUAUACGGCCUCUAACUGCCCCAGUAGGAUCUUGGAAACAUACAGGUGUCCUUGCCCUUCCUCCAAGAAUUGCUCUGCUGGGGAAAAUUCUGAGAGUAAGGAAAAUGGGUGCUGAAACAUGGUGGCUGUAAUAAUCAGUAUUCCUUUUGUUCCACCUGUGUGUCUACUGUACAGACUUUUUUUUUUAGCAAGCACUGCUUGCUGUGGCAUAGUCAUGGGGAAAAUCAUGGAAUGGAGAUUGACAUGAGACCAGAUUGGGCUUUAGAUUCUGCUUGAUGCGUCUCCUCCAGCAUCCCAUGUGGAAGGUGGUAGCAGAAUUGCCAGGCAGCUUAGAGAUAUUCCCUGCUCCUCACUCCUGCUUGUGUGGUUCCCUUGCAGGCUCACCACCUUAGUAUACAAGUCUUUCACAUAAGACAAAUGCUACAUCUGUACUGCGACCACAUUCAAUCUCAAACCCUGAUCUGGCUGGCAAGUAAACAGAAGCCAGACGUCAAUUUCCAAAAUGUUGGGAAUCAUUUAAGCAAUGCCUUGGAGGCGAGUGAUCUCAGUUGUCUCCCAGGCUUCCAGUCCUGCCACUGGGAUAGAACUGUCCAAGCACUGCUAAAUACUAUCCUUAUCCCCAAAUUUUCAGUCAUGUCAAUGGGAUAAGUUACCAUCUAGUGGUUGUCCCACAGGGAAUAUAAUUUCUACAACUACUGACAGAUAAUGCAGCAGAAAUAGGUGGGUUUACGAGCCAAAGGUCCUGGGUUUUAUUCUCCAUUGCUGCAUAUAUGCAUUUAUAACUGAGGUGGUUGGUCCAUAUGAUGCUGUAUUAUACAAUAAAAUGUGAAACGUUGAAUUUUGAGAAGUUUUAUAUUUUAUGAUGACGAUUACUUCAUACUCCUUUUAGGACAGCCACAGUAAAUAGUUUUCCUUUUACCUAUUCUGGCCACUAGAUGGCACUGUGGAAUCAUAGGCAUAUAAUAACCAUAGCAGAUCCCUGGAUACAAAUGGCUGUUUGUGUAAGAGCAGGGCUAUCUCCUGUGUUAAAAGUUGGUAUAAUUUUCCUUGUUUAAAGAUUCAGGAUGAUCAUAGAGUGAUGGAGGUGGAAACCAAGAACAACCAUGUCCUCUUCUACCUGGAAAAGAUAAGCUUGGGGAAGAAUGUGCUUUUGUUUUUUGUUAUAUUUGGAGCGCGGACUCCUAAAUAAAUGAAAAAAACACAUCAUCAGCAGGUCAGCGACCAGCCUGUGUUUAUUGUUUUCUACAGAGAGACUUAAAGUGUCCCAUUGCCAUCCCCUAUAAUUGGUGCGGUGGGCUGUUCAGAUGGCCUAGUCAUGCUAUAUAAAUCCAUUAAGAGUAACGGCAAUUAAUAUUAAAAGAAACAAAGUCUGGUGCAUUUUUCUGUCCUAUUUCCAGGCAUCUAAGGAGGAAAUCAGUUUCUCUUUCUCAGUUGAGCAAAACCUUCCUGGGUCUGAUAUGAAACCUGCUGAAGUGCACACAUCUAUGACUAAUAUGAAACAGGUAGGAGGCCUGGCUGAGCCUGGGAAGAGACCACUGAAUCAAACUACUGAUCCCAGCUUUAGCAGAAGCCAAGAAGCUGAGUAGCUAUGACCUCUGAUGCAUUUCCCCAGCGGUUUGGAUGCAGACUUCGCUUUCCAUUUCUGCAUUUGCCCUUUUUUUCUCUCACAGCGGCAGUGUGUGGAAGGCGAGGAUGUAGUUCUUACUGGUUACUACACAGCUCCUCAGCCAAGGAGAGACAUUGGGAAUUCUCUCUCCCCCUUCUUGUUUAAUUUGAACACAAAGACAGAUGGACAGUGGCACUUCAAGAACUCUUUACCUGGUUCAAUGUGCGGUGUAACCAUUAUACUACAGAUUUAGCAUGAUGUAUGGCAUGUCUCACCCACCCACCAUAUCAUUGCCAUAGUACCUAACGGCUAAGUAACUAUGAUUGUAUCAGUCAUCAUGGAGUACCAAAGGCUAUAGUUACCAUUACACUUAAAAUACCAUGGUGUUUGCCCUGAUUUGGGAUAAAUACCAGAAACUGUCUCUGCCCAGAUCAGUAUAGAUGUCCAGAGGACUGGAAGGUAUAUUCUGCUUCCUGUGAUUGUCCACACUACCAUCUGAUCAACAUAAUUAGCAUCAGAAAUGGCUUCUGUGAUCACGGAUAGUCCUCCCUUCUAAACAUUGUCAGUGGGCUCAGUGGAAUGCAUUGGGCACUGACUGUGCAUUCUAAAUCAGCCAUGGAAACAAGUCCCUUGACACCUGGAGAGGCUACAACAAGAUCCGUUGGCUGCUGGUGUAUCUGGAAUAUGUGUUAACCACAGAUGUGCAUGCACUGGGGUUGGAGUGAUUUGUUGUUGGAAUAUAGAUGUUUUCUUCCUUUUCUUUUUCAGACGAGUAUGCUCUUGCUGAAUACAAUACACCCUGCAGUCAGGCUUCAAACUGAAACCAGCCAAGUGCCCAGAAAGGGUAACUGAGAGCAAUAGAUAUUUGAUAGGUACAAAUGGGGAAAGAAGAGAGCGUAAGAGAGUUGGUUGGUUGUGUAGAGGAAAAGGAAAAGUACAGAGCUAGAUGUGGGAUAAAUCCACACAUACUGUGGUGAAUCAGGAAAGCCUGCUUUCUGCCAAUGCUUUCAAAGAGGUUGGGGACAACCUGGACUUUACCUACAUUCCCUGAAGAUCAGAGUUGUUGGUAUAUCAUAACAAAGUUGAUACUGUGCAAUUAUUCCGAAGACCCUCUACCACCCAGGUAUCAGGGGCACAUUAUAUGCAGGUGUUUCUUUUAGAAGAAUGGAUUCUUGGAAAUCACAUUUCUGGCAACAAAUUCCUCUCAGAACUAUAAUUUUUAGGGAGAAAAAUAGUUUCUGCUUGAAAAAAUAAUCUAUAGAUUUUAAUCACUUUAUCUUUUUUUCUUUCCUACCAGGAGAAAUGAAAGCUGUGAAUGUGAUUUUGAUCCCUACUUCCCUCCUUGAUUGAACUUGGAUAGGGCCAUUUCAAUAAAUGUCACACUCUAAAUUAUAAUAUGUGUGGAUUGGUUAAUUUUAACAGGAUGAGAUU